GGUACACCUCUCCUCCACGCCUGAUACGUGAUUCAAGCAAACCCCAAACCUACUGCACCUCCACACACACCGCCGAUUACAUGGAGAGAGAACGAUGAGAGAGAUCAGAAAGGAGAGAGAGAACGGUGUGUGUCGGAACGGCGGCGUUGCCUAUCACUGGUGGUGUGGUGGUGACUAGAGAUAUUAUCAGUGUGUGGUGUUGCCGGAUUCACGGUGCGGUUCCGGUGGUCAUGGAAUCAGGGUGCGGUUCCGGUGGUGAUUAGCGGCGUAGAGAAGAUGCUAGGGUUUCGGUGAAGGUCGGGCAAAAUUACGGUACCACGAGUGUCGGGAUCAACAUGAACAGACGACACCACGGGUGUCGGGAUCUCUGCCGGUGAGAGAUCUGAAAGUUUUAGGGUUCCGACGAGUCAGCUUAGCUCCGGUGAGAACCUGCUUUCCUGAACCAGUGUUUAUGAAAAAGGGGAACGCAUCCGGCAAGCACAAUAGGUUGUGGUGCAUCUAGAGGGCGGUGUUCAUAUCAAUCGGUGGUGUUCGAUUGUCUAUUAGGGCAGUGGUAAGUGAAAUCGGUACUAAAGCAAUCGAUUGGUUGUGUUCAAUAGUUUAGGGCGGUGUGCAUCACUGUUGCUUGGUCUCUAUGUUCUGAAUUGGUUGUGCGUGAUGUGGAAAUAAAAAUGAUGCUUCCAGCAUUUUUCAUGAACAACAUACAGAGAUUGUGCUAGGGGUGAGCAAAAUGAAAACCCCGACCCGAUCAGACCAUUACCCGACCUGACAAAAUACAGAACCGAUUCACUACCCUAAAUAUAGGGUCGGUUCUGGUCCAUAGGUGCAAGUCGGGUUUCACCAUGAAAAGAACCGAGAACCGACCCGACCCGACCCUAUUUUAUAUGAAAAAUUAGAACCGAUCUAAAUACCUAGGUACUUGGGUUCGGGUUCGGGUCCGGGUCGGGUUGGGUAUAUUUUCGGUUCGGUUCUCGGUUAUUUUCGGUCUGGACCUAAACUUGUUCACCCCUAGAUUGUGCGUUAUUUUUUGGUCUCAACAGCAUUUGUCAUCAACAAGGAGUCAACUGAUUGGAGUUUGACUGAAUCUGAGUUUUCGACAGUACUUUAUGCUGGAAGAUUGUUUUCGCUGUGUCAUUCAAUGGAUACUUCUUGCCAAGUUUUUAGAAGAGGAGGGAUGGUCAUCGGGCGGUAUGAUGGUGAGUUUGCGGGUUCCGGCGAGGCAGUGAUUGACCAAGAUAAUUUGAAAACUUUCUGUGGUCAUAAAGUAUAGAUGUGGAACUCCAGGAACUGCCAAGAAGAAAGGAAUAACAUGAUCAGGAACAUACAUUCAAGAACUGAAGUGUUCAUAGUAAUUAACAUAGUCGUAGAGUAUUAUUGGCGACAUAUCAUGUGAUUACACCAAGAAUGAUUUGGUUUAGCAUGAUCGUGUUAUGAGUUGUGAUGUCAAACGUACACACCAAGAAUGAUUAAGUUUAGCAUCAUCGUGUUAUGAGUUGUGAUGUAAAGCGUAAACACUAAGAAUGAUUGAUCCGGUUUAGCAAAGAAUGAUUUGGUUGAGUGCGCCGUAACGCGGCGCUGCGCAUAAAGCUAGUUCAAUUAAUUUUACAACUCUACGGAAUAUUGCACACAUUCAAACAAUUUGUCAUGUUCACAUUCAGUUAUGUAUACUUUUGACUUUUUUUUCUAAUAUUUA